AGAGUUUGAUCCUGGCUCAGAAUGAACGCUGGCGGCGUGCUUAACACAUGCAAGUCGUACGAGAACGCUCUAGCUUGCUAGAGCAAGUAAAGUGGCGCACGGGUGAGUAACGCGUGGGUAAUCUACCUUCGAAUUGGGGAUAACGUUGCGAAAGCGACGCUAAUACCGAAUAACAUCCAUUAAUCUUCGGUUUGUUGGAUCAAAGGUGGCCUCUACAUGUAAGCUACUGUUUGAAGAUGAGCCCGCGUACCAUUAGCUCGUUGGUAGGGUAACGGCCUACCAAGGCAACGAUGGUUAGCUGGUCUGAGAGGAUGAUCAGCCACACUGGAACUGACACACGGUCCAGACUCCUACGGGAGGCAGCAGUGAGGAAUUUUGCGCAAUGGGGGAAACCCUGACGCACCAACGCUGCGUGAGUGAUGAAGGCUUUCGGGUCGUAAAGCUCUGUCAAGUGGGAAGAACCUAUAUGAUGUUAAUACCAUCAUAUACUGACGGUACCACUGAAGGAAGCACCGGCUAACUCCGUGCCAGCAGCCGCGGUAAUACGGGGGGUGCAAGCGUUAUUCGGAAUCAUUGGGCGUAAAGAGCACGUAGGCGGCUUGGUAAGUCAGAUGUGAAAGCCCGGGGCUUAACCCCGGAAGUGCAUUUGAUACUGCCAGGCUUGAGUAUGGGAGAGGGAAGUGGAAUUCCUGGUGUAGAGGUGAAAUUCGUAGAUAUCAGGAGGAACACCGGUGGCGAAGGCGACUUCCUGGACCAAUACUGACGCUGAGGUGCGAAGGCGUGGGUAGCAAACAGGAUUAGAUACCCUGGUAGUCCACGCAGUAAACGUUGUUCACUAGGUGUAGCGGGUAUUGACCCCUGCUGUGCCGCAGUUAACGCAUUAAGUGAACCGCCUGGGGAGUACGGCCGCAAGGUUAAAACUCAAAGGAAUUGACGGGGGCCCGCACAAGCGGUGGAGCAUGUGGUUUAAUUCGACGCAACGCGAAGAACCUUACCUGGAUUUGACAUCCCGGGAAUCCUAUCGAAAGACUGGAGUGCCCUUCGGGGAACCCGGAGACAGGUGCUGCAUGGCUGUCGUC
rnacentral:rRNA from 1 species